rnacentral:sRNA from 1 species
AUCUUCUUUUUUUCAUCGGAGAUUUCUUCAGAAUGCUUUUACGACUGGAACCUGGUGAUUUGUUGGAUCUAUUGCGUCGACUCUCAAUUUCAGCUUGCAAAAG